rnacentral:ncRNA from 1 species
AAGAAAAAAAUAAAAGGGAAAAGUAGGUAAGCAGCCAAUUUUAGAGAGCUGAUGGUUGGUGAAAAUCAGUAUUGGUUUUAUCGAAUUCCACUCUUAUUAAUAUUUCCGGUGAAAUCAAAAUAUUCGGAAACACAUGUUAAGGUGUGUUAAACAAUUAGCCAAUGAAGGAUAGGAUAUUUUUCCUAUUGAAUCAGGGUGGUACCACGUGAUUAAACUCUCGUCCCUAGU